AGAGUUUGAUCAUGGCUCAGAUUGAACGCUGGCGGCAGGCCUAACACAUGCAAGUCGAACGGUAACAGGAAGAAGCUUGCUUCUUUGCUGACGAGUGGCGGACGGGUGAGUAAUGUCUGGGAAACUGCCUGAUGGAGGGGGAUAACUACUGGAAACGGUAGCUAAUACCGCAUAACGUCGCAAGACCAAAGAGGGGGACCUUCGGGCCUCUUGCCAUCGGAUGUGCCCAGAUGGGAUUAGCUAGUAGGUGGGGUAACGGCUCACCUAGGCGACGAUCCCUAGCUGGUCUGAGAGGAUGACCAGCCACACUGGAACUGAGACACGGUCCAGACUCCUACGGGAGGCAGCAGUGGGGAAUAUUGCACAAUGGGCGCAAGCCUGAUGCAGCCAUGCCGCGUGUAUGAAGAAGGCCUUCGGGUUGUAAAGUACUUUCAGCGGGGAGGAAGGGAGUAAAGUUAAUACCUUUGCUCAUUGACGUUACCCGCAGAAGAAGCACCGGCUAACUCCGUGCCAGCAGCCGCGGUAAUACGGAGGGUGCAAGCGUUAAUCGGAAUUACUGGGCGUAAAGCGCACGCAGGCGGUUUGUUAAGUCAGAUGUGAAAUCCCCGGGCUCAACCUGGGAACUGCAUCUGAUACUGGCAAGCUUGAGUCUCGUAGAGGGGGGUAGAAUUCCAGGUGUAGCGGUGAAAUGCGUAGAGAUCUGGAGGAAUACCGGUGGCGAAGGCGGCCCCCUGGACGAAGACUGACGCUCAGGUGCGAAAGCGUGGGGAACAAACAGGAUUAGAUGCCCUGGUAGUCCACGCCGUAAACGAUGUCGACUUGGAGGUUGUGCCCUUGAGGCGUGGCUUCCGGAGCUAACACGUUAAGUCGACCGCCUGGGGAGUACGGCCGCAAGGUUAAAACUCAAAUGAAUUGACGGGGGCCCGCACAAGCGGUGGAGCAUGUGGUUUAAUUCGAUGCAACGCGAAGAACCUUACCUGGUCUUGACAUCCACGGAAGUUUUCAGAGAUGAGAAUGUGCCCUCGGGAACCGUGAGACAGGUGCUGCAUGGCUGUCGUCAGCUCGUGUUGUGAAAUGUUGGGUUAAGUCCCGCAACGAGCGCAACCCUUAUCCUUUGUUGCCAGCGGUCCGGCCGGGAACUCAAAGGAGACUGCCAGUGAUAAACUGGAGGAAGGUGGGGAUGACGUCAAGUCAUCAUGGCCCUUACGACCAGGGCUACACACGUGCUACAAUGGCGCAUACAAAGAGAAGCGACCUCGCGAGAGCAAGCGGACCUCAUAAAGUGCGUCGUAGUCCGGAUUGGAGUCUGCAACUCGACUCCAUGAAGUCGGAAUCGCUAGUUAUCGUGGAUCAGAAUGCCACGGUGAAUACGUUCCCGGGCCUUGUACACACCGCCCGUCACACCAUGGGAGUGGGUUGCAAAAGAAGUAGGUAGCUUAACCUUCGGGAGGGCGCUUACCACUUUGUGAUUCAUGACUGGGGUGAAGUCGUAACAAGGUAACCGUAGGGGAACCUGCGGUUG
rnacentral:rRNA from 1 species